UACGGAGGGAGCUAGCGUUGUUCGGAAUUACUGGGCGUAAAGCGUGCGCAGGCGGUUAUGUAAGACAGGUGUGAAAUCCCCGGGCUUAACCUGGGAACUGCAUUUGUGACUGCAUAGCUAGAGUACGGUAGAGGGGGAUGGAAUUCCGCGUGUAGCAGUGAAAUGCGUAGAUAUGCGGAGGAACACCGAUGGCGAAGGCAAUCCCCUGGACCUGUACUGACGCUCAUGCACGAAAGCGUGGGGAGCAAACAGG
rnacentral:rRNA from 1 species